UACGUAGGGGGCAAGCGUUGUCCGGAUUUAUUGGGCGUAAAGAGCGUGUAGGCGGCCAGGUAGGUCAGCUGUGAAAACUCGAGGCUCAACCUCGAGAUGUCGGCUGAAACCAUCUGGCUAGAGUCCGGAAGAGGAGAAUGGAAUUCCCGGUGUAGCGGUGAAAUGCGCAGAUAUCGGGAAGAACACCCGUGGCGAAGGCGAGUCUCUGGACAUUUCCUGACGCUGAGGCACGAAAGCCAGGGGAGCAAACGGG
rnacentral:rRNA from 1 species